UGAGCCCAGGUGAGGGUCCCUGAGCCCAGGUGAGCCCAGGUGAGGGUCCCUGAGCCCAGGUGAGCCCAGGUGAGGGUCCCUGAGCCCAGGUGAGGGUCCCUGUGCCCAGGUGAGCCCAGGUGAGGGUCCCUGAGCCCAGGUGAGGGUCCCUGUGCCCAGGGGAGGGUCCCUGUGCCCAGGUGAGCCCAGGUGAGGGUCCCUGAGCCCAGGUGAGCCCAGGUGAGGCUGUACCUGAGCCCAGGUGACCCC